CAGGCCCAAUCCUCUUGGUUCAGCAGUGAACUCAAAACCAGGGAGCUGAAACUGUUGACCGCACCUGCCAGCAAAGGGCAAGAGCAGAAAACUGCAAUGCUCGUUGUGAGUUAUGGCAUCAUUCACCCCAACAUGAUGUGCUGAAACCAACAACAGUGGGAUGGAGACCCUGCACACCAGAUUCAACAAGAGGUCCCCACAAUGCCAGAAAUGCUGUUUUGGUCUUAAUUUUUAUUUUCAUCUUUUUCCAUUACAUUAUCUGAAGAGCAACAAGAACAGAUGGAUGCUUCCUUAACACCUGCUGCUGUGGGAGUCUUCUGAAACACUUGCAAUAUAUGCUCUCACUCUUGUGUGGAACAGAGCUAGUGGAAACAUUCACUGGGAAAAAAGGCCAGCAGUGCUCUGCCUCGGGACUCAGUUUUCACACAGCAGCAUGGAGACAAGCCAGCUGGAAUGGGCAAGUCCGUGAUUGUGAUGGAAAAAUGAAGCAAUUAAAACAAAAGCAGGAAGGUUUUUUUAAGUCUGCUUGUAACACUGAGACUGAAGGACACUAGAAUGAUUAAUGGUGGCUGUAGAAGUAACAAGCAAAGCCCUUGAGCCUCAUGAGGCUAUUCAUGGCAUUCACAAACAGGAUGGAUUCCUGCAUGUAUCAUAUCACAUCACAGAAAAGAAGACAGAUCUUCACUCUGUCAGAUAUGAACCCUGCUGAUCCCGAUCUGCAAUGUGACUUCUGAGCUUCACCUAUCUCAUCACUGUGGAUAUGCUAAAUCAUCACUAGACUGUGUCUGACUCUCAUUAACUUCACUGGAACUGAUCCUGACCCUGAUCUUUGGCAUGACUUCCUGGCUUGAUUUCUUCAGACCUGCUUCAUCAUCACAAAAUUGCCUGACGGUCUGGACGUGGCUACCAUCCCUGGGCUGGUCUUUCUUGCCUCGGUUGGG